GCACCCAACAGGUAAACCAAACACUCCCUUAAACUAUAUUAAAAAUUGAACAUGUCUAGUACGGACUGCUCUGGCUCUUUACUAGGACGAGAAUUUUCUGGCAAGCCGGAAACAGAGUUCAAGAGAAAUAAACAGCAAUCUCCAAUUGAAAAAUCAAAAGCCAAGUAAUUAUCAGAUAUUUUAAAAGAAAACCCUCUUUGAUUUGAUGAUUUCAUCUUCAAAUUCUGGAACUCUAUAUUUAUAUUGCACCCACCAGAAGCAUUUAUAAAGCCAGAUCCAGCCUUUAUAAACCAGCAAGUUGAUUGAUUCAUAAAAUACAACAAUAAUAGAACUAAAAGAGAAAUGUACAAGAAAAUUAAAGCAUUAUUCUUGCAAAUCCCAUCUAACAUCUCUCAAGAAUUUUGGACGAGAAGGGUAAGAUUCUUCAUAAUGGCAACCUUCAUCAAAGUUCUGUGAGUAACUAACAGCAUCAUAAUGGAAAGACGAAGGUUUUGAUCCAUACAAGCUGUUCUUCCCAUCUCUCACUAGCCUUCUUAUCAAGUAUCGCCAUCUCCGGCGCCCUCUCUUGCUGCUGCUGCUGCUGCUGUAAUGGAUGCGCGAGUAUUCCAUUUCUUCGUGCACAGGGAAGCACGAAGGAGACAUCAUGCACCCAGAGAGGCACGACGAUCGCUGGUGCGGGAGAGGGAGAGAGAGAUCUCUCUCCAUGAAGAGAUUUAAGAUUGAUCUUGAACUAAAUAAUUGAUGUAUAGCUAGCCAGCUUGUUUUUGAAGCCAAGCUUUUUCUCUGCAUAUAUUGUCUCUCCUCAGCA
rnacentral:misc_RNA from 1 species